AGUCUGGCGGACGAACUUCGCCCGCGCCCCCCACCAAGGCUAUAGCCCACCCGUUUUUUGGCCAUUUUUCCGCUGGGGGGUUUUGGCACCACGACCUUCGGGUGCUUAUUUUUGGACGUGGCUGUGCGCGCGACUUCCCGCGGGCACCCCGAGGCCCCUCGCAAAGUCUCGCCCCAUUCCGAGUUCGGCUGACGAACUUCGCCCGCGCCCCCCACCAAGG
rnacentral:lncRNA from 1 species